ACGCAAGGAGAGGCUCCGAGUUCGGCCGAAGCGAGCCGAGCCGCGCCGAGCGCACAGAGCGGCUCCGAGUUCGGCUGAAUGAAGCCGAGCCGCGCUGAAUGUACAGAGCGGCUCCGAGUUCGGCCGAAGCGAGCCGAAGCGGGCCGCGCCGAGCGCACAGAGCGGCUCCGAGUUCGGCCGAAUGAAGCCGAGCCUUGCCGAGCGCACAGAGCGGCUCCGAGUUCGGCCGAAUAAAGCCGAGCCGCGCCGAAGAGGCGCAUCCAGCCGAAUGCAGCCGACAAUAGCCGAGUUUAGCCGAUUACAGCCCAAUUUAGCCGAGCACUUAAGUUAUUCUGCAGCCCUUUGACUUUUGUCCUGACUUUUUUUCAGAUGCACCUCCUCAGGUGACUGCAGCAGUUCCUUAGGUUCCAUCUUCUCAAAGGGUACAGGGCUCAAGAAUUCGUCUUCCAGAGAGUUAUCUCAAGUCCUGGCUUGUAUUGUAUCUGCCUAUGUUGGCUUAUGUUGUCCCCGAGGCUGCUGAUUUCCCCAGGAUCUGCCAUUUACUUCAAGGAGCAGCAGCCAGAAGAUGUGUCACAGCACGUUCUUCAGCGUCUCAGGUUUUGCAACUCAUUUUUAAAGUUAGAAUAAAAAAUCCUCAGCCGGGUUAUAUUGUAUGUACUGACAUGGAAAGUACCCAUGUUGGCUUAAAACCCAGUAAAACAGACAAAGAUGGGCAAGGAAAAACCCAGAAAAAAACCCCCACAAGAUGGGCAAGAAAAAACCCAGAAAAAAACCUGAAAAUGGGCAAGAAAAAACCUAGGAAAAAAACCCCAAGAUGGGCAAGAAAAAAACCUAGGAAAAAAACCCAGAAAAAUACCCCCAGGUUGGGAAAGAAAAAACCUAGGAAAAAACCCUAAGAUGGGCAACAAAAAACCCAGAAAAAAAAUUAGAAAAAAUCCAGAAAUAAAACCAUGAUGAACAAGAAAAAACACAGAAAAAGCCCAAGAUGGGC